ACGCUCGACACCUACGGGAGGCAGCAGUGGGGAAUAUUGCACAAUGGGGGAAACCCUGAUGCAGCGACGCCGCGUGGAGGAAGAAGGUCUUCGGAUUGUAAACUCCUGUUGUUGGGGAAAAAGAGGAUGGUACCCAACAAGGAAGUGACGGCUAACUACGUGGCAGGAGCCGCGGUAAUCUGAGCGGGCUGGCAAGGC
rnacentral:rRNA from 1 species